UCCUGGUUAGCUCAGUUGGUAGAGCGCUCUACUGGAAAUAGAGAGGUCAUGGGUUGAUACCAGGAC
rnacentral:tRNA from 1 species